GAACAAAAAGAAAAGCAUCAGGUCUAAAGUUUUCACAAUUUCCACCACAACCAAGGCAAAAUGUAGCAGAAAGUACAGGUCAAAUCUUCGCCAAAUAACUUAAUUCAAAUAAUAACCUUACAAUCAAAUCUCUGAAUCCAAAAAGGGUCCUCCUUCUGGAAUGGCAGAAAAGAAUAAAAAGAAAAGGGAGAGACUCUGUUUCAAUUUUAUCAGGUAAAGUUCCAUUACGAUCACAAAUCUCAAACCUGGCAUUACGUCCUUGAUUCGAGCUAUAAAUAACUAGAGUUUCUAGCCCCUAUUAUUGAUAUUAUUGUGGUUGCUCUUGUUUUCGCUUUUCUACUUUCACAUAUUUUUCGCAAUUGAGAAUUUGAUAAUUGCUUGUUUUCACAUAUUCUCCAAAUCAAGCAUUGCUUUUAUCUUUCCCCAUAUCUUUAAAACAGAGCUUUGCUUUCGGUUUUCAGCCUAUCUUCGAUAUUGGGGAUUAGUUUAAUUAUUGCGGUUGCUAAUACUUUCUUUUUUUCUUCCACAAAUUUUCGAGAUUGAACAUAAAUGAACUUCCCCUAAUAUUUACCCUAAAUUAAAAUCCAAAUUCUUUAUAAUACACAAAUUUCGCAGGCAUUCAAAAAUAACAACGAAGGAUCAAAUCAGAAAAAUACCAGAACUUAAAUUCAGGGAGACGGCGAACGAAGGGGCGAAACUCAUCGGAUCCACGAGUAGGAAGAGUGGGACC
rnacentral:lncRNA from 1 species